CGGGGCAUGCCGGGAGGAGCCGCACACCGCCCCCGGGCCCGCCGCCAUCUUGCGUGGGGGUGGCGCAGCGCGGGGUCAGCUGGGGGUGCCGAUGUGGUGCCAACGAAGUCUUGCAUAUAUUAAGCAGAGCAUAUGUCCUGGAGUGCAGCUGCAUGAUGAUACGCUCCCUGGGUGUACAGAGUUAUUACAAAAGGAAUUACGAGAGAAACAAUGACUCAGAUGGCCACAGUAGAAAAUGCAAGCAGGAAACCUUUGAGAUGGCCAUCAGAGAAUUUGGCAAGAAAUUGCUUCACGAGCAUUAAGGAGUCUUUCACACAACAUGUCCCUACUUGUGGAAGUUAUUAAAUCUAUGAAAUAUAAACUUUAAAAAGCAAUGCUACCUCUAAAAUACCUGGAAACAGAAGAAAGAAACGGAGAUCAGAGCAUCUACUGUCAUCUUCAUCUCCUCUACUACGAAGGCUUAUUUUUUUGGAAUCUUCAUCCCCCCUCCCAGAAUGUUGCGAGUUGGUUUGUGUGUGGAGCAACUGGCAUACCUUUCUGUGAGCAGCAAAUGCUUCUUCUGCUGGAAAUUCAGAAACCGGAGGAGAUCUUUUGCAGUUACGUUGUAUUUUGGUGAAUCCAUGUAGAUUAAGUUGACGAGUGAAGCUUUUCAUGUUUUCAGUCCAAAAAGCUCUCCAAGGUUCUUUGCUUCACAGUACUUCAACUUUAAACAUAUCUUCAUCAGUUACAACAGUUUCCACUAUGACUCCUCCAAGUCAUCUUAAAUUGAUCAAUUUAAAACAUUCACCAGUGUUUCUACAGAAAGCUGAAAACGCUGGCUUUGCUUUCCUUAGAAGAGGUAAACAUUUGGUUUCCUGUUCAUCAGAAGAAGUUAGCGAAUCCUCUUCUUCCUUUAUUUAUGCUACAGCAUAGAUAAAUUCAAGGAACAUCUGGACAAUGCUCUCAGCUAUAUGGUGUGAUUUUUGGGUGGUCCUGUGUGGAGUUGGACUCGAUUAUCCUUGUAGGUCCUUUCCAACUUGGGAUAUUCUGUGAUUUCAAUGACUUGAAAAUUAGCACCAGCUCUGUAAUUUCCUACUGCUAGCUACUGAUUAAAUAUACAAAAUCAUUUUGAAAAGUGUAUUGAAUAUCUCCUUAUAGAAGUAAUUAUAACAUAGCCCAAUGUUUCAGACUUCUGAAUGUUUAAGAAAAUAUUAUCUUCUGUUACUUGGUUACUUUGUACAUUUCAGUUUGCACAGACUGGCCAUAAGAGAAUCCAUUACAUCUAAAUAAGCUGUCUUAAAUAAAUGCAUACAAAACUAAUUCACUUCUCUAAAAGCAGUGAAGAGCCACCAGAAAUGCAUGAGAUGUGAAACAGUUUCCAAUUUAAGAACAUUUUAAAUCAGUGUAGUCUGCAACAAUUACUUUAAAAAAGUGUCUGUUCUGUGAUUAGUUAUUGUCUGCUCUCAAAAGAUGAAAAGUUAAGCUGAUGUUUUCUUGAUCAAACCCAAGAUUACCAUACUAAUUUUAAAAACUUAAUUCUCUUUUUUAAUAUACAUUUUUCUUCUCUUGUUUUCUUCGAUUUUGAGCCUUCCACGUGAAACAGACUGUUCUGUAUGUGUCCUCUUUAAAAUUUCAUGUGCUACAGAUGAAUCAGUUAGUGAAGAAUUCAUGACUCAUUCCUACAACAAAAUGUCAUGAACUUCCCCACCUAUGUGGCCUGAUCAUCACACCCCUACUGAUUUAUCUCCUUGCAAACUUUCUGAUUCCUUCUGUACAAAGUUCUUAUUUUUCUUUCUGGUGUUGCAUCCAUGAGGACCUUAUUAUUGACUUUUUGCUGAAAUGAAAGUCAUGAUAAAACUCAAGAUUUCCAGGAUUACAGUAUCUAACUACAAGGAUGGCUGGUAUGUAUCAUGGGUCAUCAUAUGUUCUGUUGUACAAGGUAUUACAGGCAGUGUUAAUCUGAGAAAUAGUGUGUAUCUCUGUAACUCUAUUAAGAGCAGAUGGUUGGGUAUCUGAUUUCAAGUUUAAGCUUUGCUUUUUUCUUAUUUCAUGCUUGUACUCACUAAAAAUGAGAUGGAGAAGGCUAUAAAUUAAACAAAGCUCAGUGAUUUUCCACUGAGUUCUGAAUGAAAUGGCUUAUAUCUACCAGGACAGUCUGAGGAGGAAGGGAAAAGAGUGAAGUUAGGUAAGCAGUCGAUCUUCUUGAUGUGCAAAGUAGCUGAAAUCAUUCCUUCUUGCAGUAAUGUGGGUUGAAAGAGCAAAGGCUUAAAGAAAGAAGUCAGGAAAGAAAAGUUUGGUCCCCAGCCUUGAGAUUCUGCAUCCCUGAAAUUCCUACUAAUGUUGGUUUCCAGGCCAUAGAUCAGACAGCAAAAGGAUAAGCACCAUGUACAAAUAAAUACGGUGGAAAACAGUGUAAAUUUGUUUAUAUUGGAGUGCGAUUACUUCGUGAUCCUCAAGUGACUUAUAAUGAUCAAUAGACAGGAUGUACAAUGUUUCCUCUCUCAUGGUUGAUAGUUGCAUGAGAUACACACUAUCCAUUGGAGGAUGUUUUACUUACCUUUAACUUACCUGAACCCCAGUUUUAUUCAGAGUAGUAUUCAAAGUCUAAUUAGUAAUGUAUACAUCUGUAUUUCCUUAAUAGAACAUCUCCUUUGCCCCCUUCCCUAUUUGAGAUCAGAAAGCUGGCCCAAAAAGUAGUUGAGCCCUAUGCAGGUGUUGUGCUUACUUCUACCUUUAUAGUAGAGAUUUCUAAAAUCAGCUUUCUGACAAUCCCAUGCUCUCAGCAGUCAGGGACAUAUGCAGACAUUUCCUUUUCAUGUGACGAGGGUGGUUCAAUACAGUCAGAAACACAUUCUCCCUUCUGUUUACCCAUCCACAGCACUACUGAAUGUCCCACAGUUUUUAAACAUAAUGAAUUAAAGAAAACUCCAGAGUAAUUUGAUGACUUAAUCUUUACAUUGAUAAAAAGUAGAAUUUAGUGCCUUGACACAACGUGAAUCUUUACAGUAGUCAAGACAGCAGAAUUUAACAUUUUUUCUUUCCACAUAAGGAAGUUGUUUUUUUUUUCUAUACUUCUUUUUUUCCUCUGUUGUCACUGGUGUUCUUUUAAAUUUCAAACAGCCAAUACGCCAGGCCAACCUUGUGUGCCCUGUAUUCUGACUUCAAUGGUUUUUGUAUUUAGAAUUCAUAAGAAUUUUCUUGUUAGCAAAUGCACCAUCCAUGAUAAUGCCAUCAUCCACUAUCCAGGGAGGAGGGAGAAAAUGAAAACCAGAAGAAAACCAAAUCCCAAACUCCCUUACUUGGUGUAGGCUCCUUCCAGCAGUCCACAAAUCUUACUUGGGCAUCUGGCAGGGACUUGGCAGCUUUGCAGUUGUGGGAAGUGAAAAAUGAUCACGGUUAAACUUAUGCCUAGCAUUCUCUUCUUUUUACAAAGACAGUAAAAUAGUAAUGUGGUACCCAUUUGCAGGCAUGUGUCUAUGUAUAGCAUUAGAUGGCCUCUCCACAGCACUUACAAACUGCUCAGAACACCGUGCAUGGGCGAACUGUAGUGCUGGGGAAUUUAGGUUUGAUCUCAACUCCCACUCUCUCAGCUGUUUCUGAAGACUUGGUGCACUGUGUUCUUUUUCCUUCUCUGAAUGGCACUGUGCAUUGCUAGUAGUAGCACCAUGAGCUACUACUACCUCAUACUAUAUUGAAUAUCCACUUACUUUUUUCUUACAGUGAAAUAAGUAAGAGGAAUUUUGUUACCUGGUCAGAUGAGCUUCUUCAGUACCUCUAAAUGGUCUUGUAUUGCAGUUGUGCAAAGCUGACUCAAGAGACUCUCAAACACAGAGCAGGAGAGUGCUCUUUUCCCCUCUCUCUUUCCCAACUCAAGAGUUUGCUUGUUACCCUUAUCCCAUCCUCUGAGUAAUCUAGGAGGAGCUCUGCCAUACAAGCUAAUUACUCCCUCAUUGCGUGAGCCUUCUCUUUCCAUGUACUCUUUAAAACCUUCUUUCCCUGUUCCAAGUAUGAGGCAAGCUGGAGCUCUUCAAGUGCUAAGCAAAACUGUCUACCUACAGCACAAUCUUUUUUCAGACUGAUUGGAUGGUAUGGCUAUGAAACAACCCUACCCAACUGCAGACAGUGGUUUCAUACCUGGUGGAAAAGGCAGACACUGGAGAGAAUACUGUGUUCUAGACGUAACUGCUACAGAGAUAUAAACACUGAACUUCAUUCUUUAUUUUUUAUCAAAAAUCUGUGUAAUGUCAAGACAUUUAACAGCUAGCACACCAGGCACUCCAGUACUUUGUUGUUCAUUUGCCAUUCCUUGCUGGCCUUGUUUGCACUGUGAUAGUUAAGGUAUUGGUAUAAAUCUGGAAGCCACCUGUGUGAAGGCAUGAAAACAUGCAGCUUCUUUAUCUCCUUAUUUCAGAGGUAACAUCCCUCAUCUAAUCCAUUUUAUUCCUUAUCUAAAAGCUAAUUCCAUUGCAUCCUAAAUAGAUAAAUAAAAAGGGCCAAGUUCUUUUGCUUCUCACACACUCCUUAAAACUUCUUUCAUCUCAAAUUUGAAAAGUUGUUGGCAGUUUUGUAUCCAAUGUAUUUCCUUCUGCCUCCACCUCCUCACCAUCUAUUCCUAAACCAUAUUUUCUCUUUUACACGGCACAGCAUGAAAACUAAUACAGACUGCUGGAUUGAGGGUCCAUACAGGAUGAAACCCCUGUAAUCUCACUUUCCUUCUUUUGCCAUUCAGUCCAGCCCUCCUUUCUCCCUUCCUCACAGCCAUUUUUCUUAGAUGACAACAUAGAUGUCUGAAGAUGUUGGUCAUUUGUAGGUGUAUUACUUACAGCAAUGCCAUCACAAUGCAGAGCAAAACAAACUCAUGUGAACUCACUAUAAAGAAUUUCACCGUAACUCUUCAAAUUACACAAAACUCUUGCUAAAACAGUUAAAAUUCAGCAUUUUUAUUUUGUCUUGGUUCUGUAUUUUCUCCUAUUCACUUGCUUAAGGCUUUUGAUUUUGGUAUAUUUGCUGUUUUGCAUUCUUUUUGAAGUAUCUACUUCUGCUGCCCAGGCAGUAGCACAUACUUGUUUAACCCAGGCCCUGCUAGCAGCUUACUUACUGAGUUAUAGUGCUAACAUGCAUAUGACUUUGUGACUGAAUGGAUGAAAGUGUCACUUUUGAUGGGGCCACUUGUCCUGAGUGCCAUUCAGUAGAUGUUUCCUGGAGCUCUUCCAUCUCUUUGUCAUUCUGCAUUAAAGUUACAGAUGACUGCAUCAGAUACAAUUUGUUUCAUGAAAAAACAUAGGUGGGUUGAGUGUAAAUGUACCUUUCUCUGGUAGCAAGAAUCCUUGUAGCCUCUGUUUUAGACAGACAUGUUUCCUCCUGCACAACCAAGGACCCACAGCCUAAAUCCAUUUUGCAGGCCUAUUCCAAUGCUUGCUGAUGUAAAUCAUGGCUUUUCAAAUUCCUCUAGAGAUGGGUAGCUUCUCUUCCAGAGACUGUGUCUGCAUUGUUGUUACUACAAUAUAUAUUGCAUCAAAUUAACCACAACUAGCCCCACAUUCUAGAAUGCGGCCCUUUUCUUGCUGAGAAGGAAGUGGAACUGCUCAAGAUAAUACAUUUUCAUUUUCCUGCUAUUUUGUGCUCCUGCUAGCUUUUACCUACUCAGCAUGUCCACUGAAUUCUUAGUAAAGAAGCAAAAUCACUUUAUCAUUGGUCUCACUUUUGGAUUUAUCCACUGACUCAACAGUGAAAUGACAAGAGGUUCCCCUUGUCUCAUGAAGCACUUUUAUAAUUAUCAUCAGAUGGAACAAAACUCUUCAGAGCAGGAAAGGAGCUAUACUUCACAUUAAUGUACUGGAACACAUCUGCUACAAGCAAGGUGUUGCCCCUUCCAUCCGAUAGGGAGAGCCAAAGAGCUGCUCUCCACUUGCUAUCAGGCGUGUAGAGCUGUGUUCUUUCUUUCUUCUGCCCUGCUGGUGGCUUGGUGAUUUUGCUUGUGCAAAGCUGGCUACCUCGUAUUUUUGUCUUGGGCAAUGGCCUGGGUUCCUUGACGGCCUUGUCACUUUGGAUUAGUGCAAAAGUUUGUUCUGUUUAAUACAAAUAUUGAAAUCAUCCUAUUCCUCUAUGAAAGGAUGUACUGAUUAAUGUAAGUGUUCUUACCUUUUAUUAAAGAUGUCAUUGUAAAAUUGUAGGCUUUGAUUUGUUAAUUUUUAUGUUUUGUGUUUCAACAUGAUGGCAGUGUUGUCAUUUUUCCUUUACUGGUGUGAUGAACUGGUCACCCUUUUUGACUUCUUUUUCUCUCUUUACACAAGUGCUUUAGUGGUAGCCCAGAGCCAGUCUUUGCAGACAACUCUAACUGCUAACUUUUAUUUCUUUCCAAUUUCUUUACAGUGAUUGCAGCACAGCGGUACUGUUUCUAUGCUUUGGAGAAGAGCACAAAAAUAAUUGAAUAUUUUUAAGCUGGUUUACCUUUGUACAGCCAUAGAGAACAUAGUAAUUAAUACUGAAUGCUCUUAUGCAGUAAAUUAAACUGAUUACCAAGCGUAGCUUUGAGAUUUUACUGAGGUUAUAUUAGCAAGACCUGUAAGGUAGGAAGAAAUGUAAUCCAAGUAUGUGUCAGGUAGCUGAGGUAUGGGAAAUAUAUAAUUUGUUGUACAUUCUAGAAGUGACAGAUCACUGUUUUCAGCUAAGCAGCUGUUUUUCUCAUCUAUAUUUAAUAACUAACGUUUUGCAGGAAAAAUGAGAAAUAAAUUCCAUUAGUGCAACCAUGACAAGUCCAGGCCAAUGUUACUAUGACGGCUUGAGACAGGCUAUUACAAUGUAAGCCCACAUACAGGCACGUUCAUCAGUUUCAGGGUGGAGCAACCCAAACAAAUAUUUUUCCAGCUUGCCAAUGGAUUGCAUACUGUGAGGCAGUACUUUUGGGCUGUAUUUUGUGAACUCCAGCUUGCGUUUCUCCUUCCGAGAAGUCAUGUGCUGCUAUUUCCAGGAUGGCAGAAGGCUCCAAAGUAUCGCUAAAUUUGAAUGGUCAGUCAGAUGGAAAAAGUCAAAGCCCAGAUCGCUGUCUUUUCUUCAUCAUGGCACAAAACAUUGUCUGAUUAGGCAUGGUAGUGAUUACUGAACUCAGUAAUCAGAUUUGCUUGUGAGUUAUUUAGCUUCAAGUACACUUGUAAGCUCUGAGCAUCAGGUACACUUCCCCCUGUUCUCCCAAUUUUCCUGUAGCUCACUGAGUGCUCUUUCUUU